GCUUAGUUGGUGUAAUGGUAGCAUUGACCGGCAGGAGAUUCUGGUUCGAAUCCAGAACUAAGCA
rnacentral:tRNA from 1 species